rnacentral:rRNA from 1 species
AACGAACGCUGGCGGCAGGCUUAACACAUGCAAGUCGAGCGCCCCGCAAGGGGAGCGGCAGACGGGUGAGUAACGCGUGGGAAUCUACCGUGCCCUACGGAAUAGCUCCGGGAAACUGGAAUUAAUACCGUAUACGCCCUACGGGGGAAAGAUUUAUCGGGGUAUGAUGAGCCCGCGUUGGAUUAGCUAGUUGGUGGGGUAAAGGCCUACCAAGGCGACGAUCCAUAGCUGGCCUGAGAGGAUGAUCAGCCACAUUGGGACUGAGACACGGCCCAAACUCCUACGGGAGGCAGCAGUGGGGAAUAUUGGACAAUGGGCGCAAGCCUGAUCCAGCCAUGCCGCGUGAGUGAUGAAGGUCUUAGGAUCGUAAAGCUCUUUCACCGGUGAAGAUAAUGACGGUAACCGGAGAAGAAGCCCCGGCUAACUUCGUGCCAGCCGCCGCCGUAAGAC